rnacentral:sRNA from 1 species
CCCUCUCUCGUUUCUUCAUUGCUCUCAGAAACGCAAGAGCUUUCUAUCUCUUUAGAAAUUUAGCCAUCCCUCUCUGUUUCACUCAGACCCCAUAUCUCUUUAAAAUGAAAAAUUAGCUCUCCUUCUCUCUCAUUUUUCUCAAUCCUCGCAGCCUCUCAUCAUGUCUAUCUCAAAAACCAAACGCAUACCCCAGAGCCGCACUAUACCCCCAAACUUAAUCUCUGAACCAGGACCAUCCAAGCGCAUCUUCCACUCUUCUACGAUAUCCUCAUUCAUCAUCUAGCUGCCUUCGAACCUCAUAAAUCGAGCACCCUCAAACAGUAAUAUCAACAGUUACAAAGAUGACACCGCAGAUCACAUCCCUCUCUGAUUCCGACACAUUCAUGGUUUUAAGGGCAAAGUAUGCAAAGGGAAGCAUUUUGGAGCCUUUUGGAGCAAAUUAGAGCUUGGAAUGGACAUCAUAUGCUUGGAGCUAAGAGGAUGGAUGAAAUUGAAGAUUUGAAGAUGAUGUUUCCUACUUGAACACGGUUUCCUAGUCGAAGUAGGAAAGUUAAAUCCAAAUGGCAUCAAGUUUCAGCAACAAAGAAGUUUUCCAAGUCCAAGAAGGAAAGGUUUCCAAGAUGAAGAGGGAGAAGAAUUCCAAGUCAAGGGAGGAUUGAGACAUGUUUUCCUAAUGCUAGAAGGACUCCUAAUUGUUGUAGGACACAAAUGAGAAGUUUCUAGACUGUUCCCCUCCUUGCCGUGAGUUUCCUACAUUUCCUAUCAGUUUUGGGGCUUUCUAGAAGCCCUAUCCCUAAUC